UACUGCCUCAGCACUUACAAUAGAACCACCACUGAUCAGCCUACUGAUUUGCAGCUUCUCAGCUCCAGGCUUGAGGAGGUUCCAUCUACGUCCGCCGUUCCUGCGCACCUUCAGAGUCUUUGAAGCCAGUUCGUUCUCAGCGCGUCUUCUGAGCAGGUGCUGCAUGCGCCCACCCACUUGGUCCAGCCCCAUCGGGGUGCU
rnacentral:lncRNA from 1 species